rnacentral:rRNA from 2 species
UACGGAGGAUCCAAGCGUUAUCCGGAAUUACUGGGCGUAAAGAGUUGCGUAGGCGGCAUUGUAAGUAGGUAGUGAAAUCCUGGGGCUCAACCCUUUAAACAUUAUCUAAACUGCAAAGCUAGAAUAUAGAAGAGGUAGCUGGAAUUCCUUGUGUAGGAGUGAAAUCCGUAGAUAUAAGGAGGAACACCGAUGGCGUAGGCAGGCUACUGGUCUAUUAUUGACGCUAAGGCACGAAAGCGUGGGGAGCAAACGGG